rnacentral:lncRNA from 1 species
AAUUUAUUCUUUAUAUACUUAUUCUAUAAGCAAUUUUUGUUAAAAACAAAGACACAAAUAUGCCCAUCAGCCUAAGCCUACAAAAGUUCAGGAUUACCAAUAUCAUUGUCUUCCACCUCCACAUCUUGUUCUACUGGAAGAUUUUCAGGGGCAAUAACAAGCAUGGAGUCGUCAUCUCCUAUCGUAACAAUGCCUUCUUCUGGAAUACCCCCUGGAGGAUAUACCUGAAGCUGUUAUACAUUAAUGUUUUAUACGUAGGAAUAUACUCUAAUACAACAAUAAAAAGUAUGCUGCAGUAAAUACACAAACCUAUAACAUAUUUAUUAUCAUAUUUGAGUAUUAAGUACUGUACAUAAUUGUUGUAUACAAUGCUUUUAUAGGGCUGGCAGUGCUGUAGGGUUGUUUACACCAGCAUAACCACAAACAUGUGAGUAAUGCUUUGCACUAUAACCUUAUUGAGAGGUGACAGCGUGCUGGCAGUCCUCACAGCCCUCGCUUGCUCUCGGUGCCUCCUCUGCCUGGGCUCCCACUUUGGUGGCACUUGAGGAACCGUUCGGCCCGCCGCUGCACUGUGGGAGCCCCUUUCUGGGCUGGCCAAGGCUGGAGCCCACUCCCUCAGCUUGCAGGGAGGUGUGGAGGGAGAGGCACGAGCGGGAACCGGGGCUGUGUGCGGGCUUGCGGGCCAGCUGGAGUUGCAGGUGGGCGUGGGCUUGGCAAGCCCUGCACUCGGAGCAGCCGGCCAGCCCUGCUGGCCUGGGGCAAUGAGGGACUUAGCACCCGGGCCAGUGGCUGUGGAGGGUGUACUGGGUCCCCCAGCAGUGCCAGCCCACCUGUGCUGCACUCGAUUUCUCACCGAGCCUUAGCUGCCUUUCCAUGGGGCAGGGCUCGGGACCUGCAGCCCGCCAUGCCUGAGCCUCCUACCCACUCCAUGGGCUCCUGUGCGCCGGAGCCUCCCCACGAGCACCACCCCCUGCUCCACGGCGCCCAGUCCCAUCGACCACCCAAGGGCUGAGGAAUGCCAGCGCAUGGCGCGGGACUGGCAGGCAGCUCCACCUGCAGCCCUGGUGCAGGAUCCACUAGGUGAAGCCAGCUGGGCUCCUGAGUCUGGUGGGGAGGUGGAGAGUCUUUAUAUCUAGCUCAGGGAUUGUAAAUACACCAAUCAGCACCCUGUGUUUAGCUCAAGGUUUGUGAGUGCACCAAUCGACACUCUGUAUCUAGCUGCUCUGGUGGGGCCUUGGAGAACCUAUGUGUUGAAACUCUGUAUCUAACUAAUCUGAUGGGGACGUGGAGAACCUUUAUAUCUAGCGCAGGGAUUGUAAACGCACCAAUCAGCGCCCUGACAAAACAGACCACUCGGCUCUACCAAUCAGCAGGAUGAGGGUGGGGCCAGAUAAGAGAAUAAAAGCAGGCUGCCUGAGUCAGCAUUGGCAAACCGCUCGGGUCCCCUUCCAGACUGUGGAAGCUUUGUUCUUUCGGUCUGCAAUAAAUCUUGCUACUGCUCACUCUUAGGGUCCACGCUGCUUUUAUGAGCUGUAACACUCACUGUGAAGGCCUGCAGCUUCACUCCUGAGCCAGCCAGACCACAAACCCACCAGAAGGAAGAAACUCCGAACACAUCUGAAUAUCAGAAGGGACAGACUCCAGACGUGCCACCUUAAGAGCUUUAACACUCACCGCGAGGGUCUGUGGCUUCAUUCUCGAAGUCAGUGAGACCAAGAACCCACCAAUUCCAGACACAUUAUGACAGCUGUGAUGUCAUAAUGUCACUAGGCAAUAGAAAUUUUUUAGUUCCCUUUUAAUUUUAGGAAACGACUGUAGUAUAUGAGAUCCAUUGUGGUAUAUGUUGACUGAAACAUCAUUAGGUGGUACAUGAAUGUAUUUGACAUUAAGAGCUGAACAGAAAGCAUGGCUUUUGAGGCCUCAGGAAACACAAUCAUGGUGCAAGGUGAAGAAGAAGGGGGCACAUCUUACAUCGCCAAAGGAAGAGGGAGAGAGAGCAAAGACGGAGGUGCUACACACUUUUAAACAAUCAGAUCUUGUGAGAGCUCACUCACUGUCAUGAGAACGGCAACGGGGAAAUCUAUCCCCAUGAUUGAAUCACCUCCAAGCAGGCCCCUCUGUUUAACACUGGAGAUUACAAUUCGACCUUAGAUUUAGGUGGGGACACAAAUCCAAACCAUAUUAAAUAUCAUGGAGCAAGUUAGUCUAGAUGAUAUCACAUUUGUAUAAGGCC